GUACCGUAUUUAUAUCACUGUGCUGGUGUUCCAGCCUGCAGAGCUGGGCACACUAACACGAAGGGAUGCUGGUGGGUGGGGAGGGAAACAGUAUAGUACACUUUAUUCUGCUUAGAAGUGUCUUUUUUCUUAUGUAGGCUUGACAACCUGUAGAGGAUCUCUGCAGAAUAUAAAAGAUACCUUGUUCAUCUGGGAAAGAACCCACAGAAAUCUACAGUUCUGCUGCCAAGACAUUAUUAUAGGACUGACAGAUACACGCCAAUGUCUGCAGCGGAGACUCAAGGGACAUCUGUACAUAUGUAAAUGACAAAUAGAGACAUGUUAACAGAAAUGCAUUCAUUUUCCUUGGAAUGUGCAUUGUUUUUAUUUCGCAGGAAAAAAAAAAAAAAAGCUUGAAGCUCCAUCUUAUGUGGAAAAUGAAUCCUGUUUGUUAGCGUUUGUGGAGUCCCGGCAUUCGUUUCACUUUCACUUCUGUAAUAUACUCUGAUCCUUCGUUUUGUUUUGUUUUAUCUACAUGUAAUAUUUAGCUUACGUGUACUAGUCUAUCACCUGUGUAUUUUUAGGGUGCUACAGAAAUAAUGAAGAAAAAUAAGGGGAUUACCAAAAAAAAAAAGUAAAUUGUAACCAAAUUCAUAACUUUGUACAAUUUUUGAUAUCGCGAUCAGAGGGGAAUUAAAAAAGAGAAAAAAAAAAAGAAGUACAAUCUGACGUAACACGCAAAAACGGCCAUUGUCUUUGUUUGUACAUUGUAUGUACAGUACAAUGCAAUCAUUUCAUACUUUAAACUGGUCAGAAAAAAUAAUUGUGAUUUUUAGUCUUGCAAAACUGUAUGUAGUUAGAUGAUGUGACAACCUAAUAUUUAUCUAAUAAAUAUGUAUUCAGAUGAAACCUGUAUAUUAGGUGUUCAUGUGGUUAUUUUGUAUUUAAAGAUCAAAUUAUUUGACUAUUGCUAGACAUUUAUAUACUCUGUUGUAACACUGAGGUAUUC
ensembl:lncRNA